UACGUAGGGGGCAAGCGUUUGUCCGGAUUUAUUGGGCGUAAAGAGCGUGUAGGCGGCCAGAUAGGUCUGUUGUGAAAACUCGAGGCUCAACCUCGAGACGCCGAUGGAAACCAAUCUGGCUAGAGUCCGGAAGAGGAGAGUGGAAUUCCUGGUGUAGCGGUGAAAUGCGUAGAUAUCGGGAGGAACACCUGUGGCGAAAGCGGCGCACUGGACCAUAACUGACGCUGAUGCGCGAAAGCUAGGGGAGCAAACAGG
rnacentral:rRNA from 1 species